GGAAGCUGAGGGCGAGGGAUCCGCGCAGGAUCCAUUUUGCAGCUGCUGGUCAUCCAGGUGCCACCCUGCGGGAAGUUUGGGCAGCACGGAGUCCGCCAGCAUUCUACAGGAAGUUUGGGGGAGCACAAGGUUGCCUGCAGAAGGCCAUCAGAAGGGGGAGAGAAUGAAAUGGAAAUAAUGUUCUGGGACUUUUGAGUACAGGCCUUAAAAGGACUGGCAUCUUCUGCUUUUCCAUUUGGAACACCAGCCUGCUGUAUUGUGGAAAAGUCCAGGCCAGGACACUACAUGAUUAGAGGUGGUAUGGAGAGAGCACUGGAGGAGAGGAGAUCAUCUUGGAUGUCCCAGCUUUAGCCAAACUCCCAGCUGAAUGCAGCUGCACAUGUGACCUCAGCCUACCCCAUCUGAAUCAGACCCACCCAGCUGAGCUCACUCAAUCCACAUAUUUGUGAGAAAUAAUAAAUUGUUUGAAGCCACUAA
rnacentral:lncRNA from 1 species